rnacentral:lncRNA from 10 species
UAAGACCCCAGCUUUGGUCCAUGAACAGAAAAUUCAUUCUGGAGAGAAGAGAUGAUCGUGAAACAAUGCAACCCUUUGCCCUGUUUCUGUCUCACACUUUGCUUUGGCAGUGGUUUAGCUGUUUAACGGAAACACCUAUUCUGCACUGGCAGAGUCCUUAUGUUAGAAGAGAAAAUGCAUGUUCUGUUCUGGCAUAUCCCUGUUGAUCUACCUUCCUGGGUCUUGGGUAAAAGACUCAUUUAAUGGAAGAGCUCGAUUUGUGGUAGGUUUUUCUGGGAAGAAAGUAGAGCAGAGGUAGGGAAAAACUGCAAGUCUGUAGGCUAGUGGUAUCCACCCUGUGCAUUUGUGAUUUCUUGCUGAUGGUUACUGGGGGGAAAUUGGCUUUGCAGCGAUGUGUGUCUCCGCUUGUGCCCUGUCUCUACCAAAAACAAAAAAAAUUAGCUGGGUGCAGUGGCGCACGCCUGUAGUCCCAGCUUCUUGGGAGGCUGAGGCAGGAGAAUCGCUUGGGCGGGGUGGGGGUGGGGGUGGGGGUGGGGGCGGAGGGGCGGAGUUUACAGUGAGCGAAGAUCAUACCACUGCACUCCAGCCUGGGUGACAGAGCGAGACUCUGUCUAAAUAAAUAAAUAAAUAACAAAUAGGUGGGUGGGACCAGAUUAUGGGUGGCUUAAAAUCCAGGUAUACCAGCUGUCUUCCUGGAAAUAAAGAGGAGCCACUUUAGUUUUGAGAAUGUGGUCUGAGCCAGGUAGAUAAACUGGGAGCUCGGGCUGAAGUGUAAGACUUCAGAAAGAUGUUCCAUACGUGAAUGUUCAUUUAAACGUGGGGGUGUUAAGCAACACACGUGACCCAGAGACAUUUCACCUGGAAACCGGAGUAGGGCCCACGCACCAAGUCCCUGAUGUUUAAUUGCAGUCUAGAAUGUUACUGACUAGUUCACUCAAUUUAACAAAGUGUCCGGAGGUCGCUCACUGGAUUGUUAUGCUGGUGACUGGGCCUUGUUUCACUGAGAAAAAAAGAUGGGAAAGGGUGACAGGACGGUGAGAAAGUGAAAGGGAGAGAGGUGGGAAAGGGGUCUGCCAAGGUCCAGGCGAGGUUGGGGGUCGGGGGUCCGGCGGCCCUCAGGGCCCCCCCCGCCCCCAACUCCGGGGUUGGCGCCUCGGGCGCGGCGCGUGUGCUUGCGGGCGGGGCGCCCCGCGGCCGCGGACGGCCAAUCCGGGAGGGCGUCCGGGGAGGGGCGGGGCUUGCCGGCUCGGGCUCCGCGAGUCCUCCUUUUUGCACACACACGAAUACAAAGAGCCAUACGACCUUCGGGUAUCCUUUUUCCAUUUUUUUUCCUCCUUAAUCUUGUGUGUGUUUUCAAAUUUUUUAAAAAUAGAGAUCUGUAGCAGUGUUGGGGUGAGGAAACUGUUGCUAAGGGGAAUUUGCUCUUUCCCCCAUUUCUUUUUCUGUCUCUCUUCCUCUUUCUUUUUCCUGGUCAAGGUUUUAAAUAUACCAAGAAGUUGAGAAGCAGGAUGGCCGUGUACAACCGUUUCCGGCCAAAUUUAUAGUUUUUUUUUCUUUUUUUUAAAUCACAUUUUAAGAACUGGUAGAUUUUUGUGGUUGAGGGACUUUAAAAAUUUAGCCGCUUGGGAAGUACAGAAUUUUUUAAGCGGGCUGAAGGGAUAAUGUAAAUUUCUGCCACAGGCAACAUCGAAGGAAGCAGAGAGAUUUGAGGCUCCCUCAUAAAGCCGUUUGCGUGCUUUUUACACACCCACCCCCCCAGAACCAAAACCAAGUGGCUGGGAUGUGGCACUUGUCCAAGGCCAAUAAGUUAAUAUUGGGAUAUUAUAAUGGAGACAUUCAUUUCCCUAGGGAAGGGGGAAAGACCUUAAUUACAGUGUGUCUUUCACACACAUUUUCAUUAGAACAUUUGUGUGUGUGUGUGUGUGUUUCUUGAAACAAAUUUGUAAAGUUAUAACUUGGGGUUAUUUGUGUAUAUGUACAAUAUGUGUGUAUAUGUGCCAUAUCAGAUUUUAUUUUCAAAAGUGAUAAAUAUAUCUGGUUUUAUGUGUGCAAAGUAUCCCCUAGGAUGUGAAUUUUUUUCCGUUGUCUUCCCAAAUGUGAUCAAAAUAUUUUGUGUGCAAAGCAGAGCUUAGAAGAAAUCCUAUGCUUAGCAUACUUAGGCACUUUCUAUGUGCAUUUACUAUAUUUUUCUGCUCCUAAAGGAUCAGAAUAAUGAAUAAUUAAAUAAUUGCCAAGGAGUAUAUAGUCCAUGUGGCAAAUGAGAGUAGGCAAUUUAUUGAAUCUGUGGUUCAAAGCCUUCAGUGACUGUUUUGCCUAAGUGGUUUUGCUUUUUAUUGUCUCACGUUCUUAAGUGUACAGCUGUGUAUAUUUUGGCCUUUAUGUGUGGUUUGGUUGGUGUGUUCAGAAGGGAAGUUCUUUCUUGGCUUUUUGACAAAAUGGUCGUUUAUUGGUUGGAAUAUUCGAAAAGCUCCACAGCUGGCAAAGUAUCAGGAAAAAAAUCCAGUCAAGUGUAAUUCUCAAAAACUGUUCAUGGUGAUGGUGAUGGGGAGCCAAGAGGAUGCAAAGGCAAAUAAUAGAAGGGAUAAGAAAUGCCUUUUGGUUAUCAUGUUGCAUUUUUAGAAUGGAAAGCUUCUCAUUUCUAAGAGUCACAGAAAAAAGUAUAUGAAUUAGAGAAAAACAGGCUCGCAGAGCAGAACCUCCUGUUAUAGGAGCCCUAUUUUCACUUCAUUCUGUUACAGAAUCACUAUCUCCUCAUUAGAAGUUGUAUGGAAAAUAUCUGUAUCCAAAUUUGUAUUCGCAGAUUGGAGUGAAAGCAUAGGAGGUAUAUGAGGUGCUGAG